AAGACCAACAGGGAUUGCCCUAGUAACGGCGAGUGAAGCGGCAACAGCUCAAAUUUGAAAUCUGGCCCUAGGCCCGAGUUGUAAUUUGCAGAGGAUGCUUCGGGCGCGGUGCCUUCCAAGUCCCCUGGAACGGGGCGCCGGAGAGGGUGAGAGCCCCGUACGGUUGGCGGCCAAGCCUGUGUGAAGCUCCUUCGACGAGUCGAGUAGUUUGGGAAUGCUGCUCUAAGCGGGAGGUAGACCCCUUCUAAAGCUAAAUAUAGGCCAGAGACCGAUAGCGCACAAGUAGAGUGAUCGAAAGAUGAAAAGCACUUUGAAAAGAGGGUUAAAUAGCACGUGAAAUUGUUGAAAGGGAAGCGCUUGUGACCAGACGUGCGCCGGGGUGUUCAGCGGGCGUUCUCGCCCGUGCACUCGCCUCGGCGCAGGCCAGCGUCGGUUCGAGUGGGAGGAUAAAGGCGUCUGGAAUGUGGCUCCUCCGGGAGUGUUAUAGCCAGACGUGCCAUGCUCCCGCCCGGACCGAGGUACGCGUUCUGCAAGGACGCUGGCGUAAUGGUCUCCAGCGACCCGUCUUGAAACACGGACCAAGGAGUCGAGGUUUUGCGCGAGUGUUUGGGUGUUAAACCCGCACGCGUAAUGAAAGUGAACGUAGGUGGGAGCUUCGGCGCACCACCGACCGAUCCUGAUGUUUUCGGAUGGAUUUGAGUAAGAGCGUAGGGCCUCGGACCCGAAAGAUGGUGAACUAUGCUUGGAUAGGGUGAAGCCAGAGGAAACUCUGGUGGAGGCUCGCAGCGGUUCUGACGUGCAAAUCGAUCGUCAAAUCUGAGCAUGGGGGCGAAAGACUAAUCG
rnacentral:rRNA from 1 species